CGGGUGAGUAAUGCAUCGGAACGUGCCAUUGAGUGGGGGAUAACGUAGCGAAAGUUGCGCUAAUACCGCAUAUUCUGUGAGCAGGAAAGCAGGGGACCGCAAGGCCUUGCGCUCUUUGAGCGGCCGAUGUCAGAUUAGCUAGUUGGUGAGGUAAAGGCUUACCAAGGCGACGAUCUGUAGCGGGUCUGAGAGGAUGAUCCGCCACACUGGAACUGAGACACGGUCCAGACUCCUACGGGAGGCAGCAGUGGGGAAUUUUGGACAAUGGGGGCAACCCUGAUCCAGCCAUGCCGCGUGAGUGAAGAAGGCCUUCGGGUUGUAAAGCUCUUUCGGCCGGGAAGAAAUCGCAUGGGCCAAUACCCUGUGUGGAUGACGGUACCGGAAUAAGAAGCACCGGCUAACUACGUGCCAGCAGCCGCGGUAAUACGUAGGGUGCGAGCGUUAAUCGGAAUUACUGGGCGUAAAGCUGCGCAGGCGGUUUUGUAAGACAGGCGUGAAAUCCCCGGGCUUAACCUGGGAACUGCGUUUGUGACUGCAAGGCUAGAGUACGGCAGAGGGGGGUGGAAUUCCACGUGUAGCAGUGAAAUGCGUAGAGAUGUGGAGGAACACCAAUGGCGAAGGCAGCCCCCUGGGUCGAUACUGACGCUCAUGCACGAAAGCGUGGGUAGCAAACAGGAUUAGAUACCCUGGUAGUCCACGCCCUAAACUAUGUCAACUAGGUGUUGGGUGGGUAAAACCAUUUAGUACCGUAGCUAACGCGUGAAGUUGACCGCCUGGGGAGUACGGCCGCAAGGUUAAAACUCAAAGGAAUUGACGGGGACCCGCACAAGCGGUGGAUGAUGUGGAUUAAUUCGAUGCAACGCGAAAAACCUUACCUACCCUUGACAUGCCAGGAACUUGCCAGAGAUGGCUUGGUGCCCGAAAGGGAGCCUGGACACAGGUGCUGCAUGGCUGUCGUCAGCUCGUGUCGUGAGAUGUUGGGUUAAGUCCCGCAACGAGCGCAACCCUUGUCGUUAAUUGCCAUCAUUUGGUUGGGCACUUUAACGAGACUGCCGGUGACAAACCGGAGGAAGGUGGGGAUGACGUCAAGUCCUCAUGGCCCUUAUGGGUAGGGCUUCACACGUCAUACAAUGGUCGGUACAAAGGGUUGCCAAGCCGCGAGGCGGAGCCAAUCCCAGAAAGCCGAUCGUAGUCCGGAUUGCAGGCUGCAACUCGCCUGCAUGAAGUCGGAAUCGCUAGUAAUCGUGGAUCAGCAUGUCACGGUGAAUACGUUCCCGGGUCUUGUACACACCGCCCGUCACACCAUGGGAGCGGGUUCCGCCAGAAGUGGGUAGCCUAACCGCAAGGAGGGCGCUUACCACGGCGGGGUUCGUGACUGGGGUGAAGUCGGAACAAGGUA
rnacentral:rRNA from 1 species